rfam:Hordeum vulgare subsp. vulgare, WGS project CAJW01000000 data, contig: morex_contig_48493
AUAAUACUUCCUCCGUCCUAAAAUUCUUGUGUUAGGUUUGUCUUGAAAUGAAUAUAUCAAAAUACUAAAAUGUGACUAGAUACAUUUAUAUUUAAACAAAUCUAAGACAAGAAUUUUGGAACGGAGGAAGUACUAG